AGAGUUUGAUUCUGGCUCAGGAUGAACGCUGGCGGCGUGCCUAAUACAUGCAAGUCGAACGAGGGUGCUUGCACCCUAGUGGCGAACGGGUGAGUAACACGUAGGUAACCUGCCCUUAAGCUUGGGAUACCCAGAGGAAACUUUGGCUAAUACCGGAUAACAACAGAGAAGGCAUCUUCUUUGCUUGAAAGGCCCUUUCGGGUCACUUAAGGAUGGACCUGCGGCGCAUUAGCUAGUUGGUGAGAUAACAGCCCACCAAGGCGAGGAUGCGUAGCCGAACUGAGAGGUUGAUCGGCCACAUUGGAACUGAGACACGGUCCAAACUCCUACGGGAGGCAGCAGUAAGGAGUUUUCGGCAAUGGGGGAAACCCUGACCGAGCAACGCCGCGUGAGUGAUGACGGCCCUAUGGGUUGUAAAACUCUUUUAUAAGGGACGAAUGAUAGUGAUAGGAAAUGAUCAUUAUUUGACGGUACCUUUUGAAUAAGCCACGGCUAACUACGUGCCAGCAGCAGC
rnacentral:rRNA from 1 species